rnacentral:rRNA from 1 species
GAGACUCUGUGCGCGUGCAUAUCAAUAAGCGGAGGAAAAGAAACUAACUAGGAUUCCCUUAGUAACGGCGAGUGAAGCGGGAAGAGCUCAAAUUUGAAAUCUUCAAGGUUCUACCUUGACGAAUUGUAGUUUAUAAGAAGUGUUUUCUGUUAGUGGAGUUGGCUAAAAGUUCUUUGGAAUAGGACAUCAUAGAGGGUGAGAAUCCCGUAUUAGGUACAUUCUCUUCCUAGCUGUUGUGAUACACUUUCAACGAGUCGGAUUGUUUGGGAAUGCAGUCCAAAGUGGGUGGUAAAUUUCAUCUAAAGCUAAAUAUUGGCGAGAGACCGAUAGCGAACAAGUACCGUGAGGGAAAGAUGAAAAGAACUUUGAAAAGAGAGUUAAACAGUACGUGAAAUUGUCAAAAGGGAAGCGUUUGACACCAGUGUUGUUUUCUCGAAAAUCAAUUAAAAAUGAUGGGAUUUUGUGUUGUAUUGACUUUAUCAGCUUUCUGCACUUUUUUCUUGAUCUUUUUUAAUGCACUUUUCGUUUAACAGGUCAACAUCAAUUUCUUUUGUUGUAAAAGAGUCAUUGGAAGGUGGCUUUUCAUUUCGGAAGAAGUGUUUAUAGCCUUUGACUUCUGCAAUCGGAGAGAUUGAGGUCUGCAGCGUAGAUCCUUCGGGGUUAGAUACAUUUGUGCUAAGCUAUAGUUCUUUAUAGACAACAUUGUUGACUAUGAUCAAUCCUGUAGCUUACUCGCUUAUGCUAUUUUACCUACGCUUAGGAUGUUGAACUCUAUCACACACAG